UACGAGGGGGGCGAGCGUUGUUCGGAAUUAUUGGGCGUAAAGGGUGCGUAGGCGGUUUUGUAAGUCUUAUGUGAAAUCUAUGGGCUCAACCCAUAGACUGCAUGAGAAACUGCAGGGCUUGAGUAUGGGAGAGGUGAGUGGAGUUCCUGGUGUAGCAGUGAAAUGCGUAGAUAUCGGGAAGAACACCCGUGGCGAAGGCGGCUCUCUGGGACGGUACUGACGCUGAGACGCGAAAGCGUGGGGAGCGAACAGG
rnacentral:rRNA from 1 species